GCCUUCUCUUCAAAAAGUCUCAUGAGUCAUAAGGGAAUUAAGCGUGUGUUUCUUGCUUGCUUAAUUAUUCAGAUUCACCAUCGAUCGAGUGGAAUAUUAAUUGCAAAAAUAGUAUCUAAAAUCUACAAAAUUUGACGUGCAUGCAUGGAUGC